rfam:Canis lupus familiaris chromosome 2, whole genome shotgun sequence.
AGGAGGAACAGCCCCAGUGGCGGGGCAGCUCUGGAAACCUGGAUUCAGCUCCGGCAGGAACUCCAUCUGCAGGGCCUGGAAGCUCCGGGGCGGG